AUAACUUACCCUUAGGACUGGGAUAACUCUGGGAAACUGGGGAUAAUACCGGAUAUUAGGCUAUGCCUGGAAUGGUUUGCCUUUGAAACGUUCUUUUCGCCUAAGGAUAGAUCUGCGGCUGAUUAGGUCGUUGGUGGGGUAAUGGCCCACCAAGCCUAUGAUCGGUACGGGUUGUGAGAGCAAGAGCCCGGAGAUGGAACCUGAGACAAGGUUCUAGACCCUACGGGGUGCAGCAGGCGCGAAACCUCCACAAUGUACGAAAGUGCGAUGGGGGAAUCCCAAGUGUUAUUCUUAACAGAAUAGCUUUUCAUUAGUGUAAAAAGCUUUUAGAAUAAGAGCUGGGCAAGACCGGUGCCAGCCGCCGCGGUAACACCGGCAGCUCGAGUGGUAGCUGUUUUUAUUGGGCCUAAAGCGUUCGCAGCCGGUUUGAUUAGUCUUUGGUGAAAGCUUGUAGCUUAACUAUAAGAAUUGCUGGAGAUACUAUCAGACUUGAAGUCGGGAGAGGUUAGAGGUACUACCGGGGUAGGGGUGAAAUCCUAUAAUCCUGGGAGGACCACCUGUGGCGAAAGCGUCUAACUAGAACGAUCUUGACGGUGAGUAACGAAAGCCAGGGGCGCGAACCGGAUUAGAUACCCGGGUAGUCCUGGCCGUAAACGAUGUGGACUUGGUGUUGGAAUGGCUUCGAGUUGUUCCAGUGCCGAAGGGAAGCUGUUAAGUCCACCGCCUGGGAAGUACGGUCGCAAGACUGAAACUUAA
rnacentral:rRNA from 1 species